AUAGGAACAGCUCCAGUCUACAGCUCCCAGCGUGAGCGACGCAGAAAACGGGUGAUUUCUGCAUUUCCAUCUGAGUUAGGCUUGGCCACAAGAGACAAAUUGCAAGGCAUGGAGACAUUUUUCUAACACUUGAAAAUUCUAUGCAAGAGCACCAGGCAGCUCAGUCACCUUGUCACUUAUCUACUGGGUCACCUUGUUGGCAUGGGAUGCCAGCCAGGCUUGCAGCUGCUCCAUCCUCCCCUGAAUUUGUACUUCAGCUUCUCCACUCAUGGCCUGCCCUGAGGACUUCAUGGUUCAGCAUCAGAUAUGAAGACGACAGCCCUAUAGAGACUAUUUAACCAGCUUCUAAGGUGGUUAAAUAUCUUACCAGCCUAUGUAAGGUCGAAUCCUACUAACAAAGCACUAGUAUAUGUGAUAUCCCAGUGGUUUGCUUCUCUAAUUGAACCCUGACUACUACAGGUAAGAAUUUUGACAAGAAUAUAUUAAUUAUUCUAGGAGGAAGAAAGGGAAACUCACUUCAGGUCAAUAGAGAUUGUCAUUUGGGACCCCUUCAAGACAACCAAUUAUAUGAGUCUCUCUAAAAUAUUGCUAUCCAGCCCCCAUUCCUCACUUUUGUCCUACUGGUAAUAAGGCAUUCAUCAUGUAUCUUUCAGAAGUCCAGAUACCACAGUCUG
rnacentral:lncRNA from 1 species